rnacentral:lncRNA from 7 species
UAAGUGCCCCCAUAAGCCCCAUACCCAACCAUCCAGCAGACCACCGAGGUCUUCACGUCGGUAAGGAGCCCCAUAGCGACCCAUAACUGCCCCAUAACCACACAGUGCCCCAUAGAGACCAAUAAGUGCCCCAUAGAGCCCCAUAACCACCACCAUCCAGCAGACCACCGAGGUCUUCACGUCGACUUUGGACGACCUGGACCAGCGCGUCCGGGAGGCGGGGUUGGAGAUCACCUUCCGGCAGAGCUUCUUCUCCGACCGCCGCCGCCCCCGUGCGCAACCUGAAGGUCAGCGCCCCACAAGUGUGGGGCAGCCCCACAAGUGGGCGGUGGGGGCGGCUGGGGGGUGUGGGGCGGGGAUACCCAAUGGGCAGCCCCAUAAGUGUGGGGCGGGGACGGCUGGGGGGUGUGGGGCGGGGAUACCCAAUGGGCGGCCCCAUAAGUGUGGGGCAGCCCCACAAGUGGGGGGUGUGGGGAGGGGAUGCCCAAUGGGCGGCCCCAUAAGUGUGGGGUGGGGACAGCUGGGGAUGUGGGGCGGGGAUACCCGAUGGGCGGCCCCAUAAGUGUGGGGUGGGGACAGCUGGGG